GGCUCCACAGGGCAGGGGCCAGGUAACGCCUGGGGGACGCAAGUCUACGGAAAGUGCCGCAGAAAAGAUACCGCCUAAGCGCCUUUAGCGCCGGUAAGGGUGAAAUGGUGCGGUAAGAGCGCACCGCGCUGACGGUAACGCCAGUGGCAGGGUAAACCCCACCCGGAGCAAGACCAAAUAGGGGAGCAUUGGUGUGGCCCGCAUCGCUCCCGGGUAGGUUGCUUGAGGUGCACGGUGACGUGCAUC
rnacentral:RNase_P_RNA from 1 species